CUUUCUUUCUCUAUUUUCUUCAUUUUCUUAAAUAUUUCCUUUUUGAUGUUUGGUUUUCUGUGAAUUUGAUGAUACAUUUUAGGAAAAGAUCACUAAAUCCGGCAAUAAUAAAUCAUUAUAAUUUUUAAACAAAAGGAAGAAACUUUAUUUUUAUAAGCCAUGGAGAGACAAUAUGUUGUUCUUGUGUGCGUGCCUAGUGUUUGUUUAUCUGUUUUAGGUAGAUAAAGGUAGCUUCAAAUACCCAAAUAAAAAAUUAUGAGAAAAAAAGUGUAAUUUUGGGAUCCCAAUGUUUAGAGAUUUUGAUGAUUCUUAUUGGGAAAAAUGGGGAAAAAAUUUAGUUAAUGCGCCAAUUUGGUAUUUAGCUUAAAUUAAUGGAACAUGUUUGCUUCUUUGAAUCUAUUAUCUAAGAUUUUCUAAUUCUUUCUUCUAGAGGUGUAUUGGAUUUGGUUUUUUAUUCGAUUUAUCGUUUUAUUUGCAUUGAAUUUUAGAUUCUUGCUUGAUAGUCCAAUGCUGAUUAUGGAUCUUACUUGAAACUUGUCUUGGUUGAUAAGAAGGAAUGAGGGUUGAGGAGAGUGCAAGAUUCAUAUUUGUACCUUAUUCAAAGUAGCAAAACCAAGAAUGAUAUGGAUUUGAAAUGUAUUAGUUCGUAAAAAUGUGGACAAAUCUAGAAUUAUAAGGGAAUGGUGAAUUUGGUAAGAGUGCAAUGGAUUACAAUGGUGCCAUUGUCCAAGAAAGAUUUUGGAUGUAUGAAAUGGAGUAAACAAACAUAAAAAGAUUUGGGGUAUCUGAGAAUUUAUUUGUAGCUUCAAGUAUGGUUCUUUUAAGUGCAUGUACUAUGUUGGCAGUAAAGGGGUCACUGGUGGCUUCAAAAGAGGAAAUUUAGUGAUGAGGAUGCAAAGUUUGAUUCAAGUUUGAACACAUGGUGGAACUAUUAAAUCAUGGAUCUUUAAAAGGAAUUGGUUUGGUUUGCUCACAGAUAGUCCAAAAGCAGAGGCUUCUCAGUUUGCUGCAAGGAUUAAGUCAUUAUGUAUGUGUUUUGUAAUCAGCGGUGGUGGGAGAAAUAGGCAGUAAAAAUUCGGUUUUGAAAACAAUCCCAUCAAUAGUACAAGUGAGCCUUAAUUUGAGCCAAGAAACAACUCAACAUUUCUUACAGAUUUUGGAAAUCGGCACCAUUAUCAUCCCCCAAUGGAUUUGUACCAAUCUUGACAUCGAUCAUGGAGUGUGAUCAACAAAUUCAUGUUUCUGCCAUUUGUGGGUGUAUAAGUUUGAACUUGUAUUCUAAUAAAAAUGUAAUCUAUGGAGUACAGUGGUUCAAGAAUUGCCCUUGUCAAAUUUGAAUAUAAAAAGUAAUGGAAUAUUGUGUAAUUUUAACCUUUUA